GUACCCGUGGCCUAUUUUUGGCACACGGAGGCCGCCCGCCAAGUCAGGGGCCAUUCCGAGUCCCGCGGACGAAGUUCGCCCACGCCCCCCACCAAGGCUAUAGCCAACCCGUUUUUUGGCCAUUUUUCCGCUGGGGGGUCUUGGGACCCCGAGCUUCGGGGGCUGAUUUUUGGGCGCGGCUGUGCCCGUGGCCUAUUUUUGGAAUACAGUGACCGCCCGCCAAGUAUGGUGCCAUUCCGAGUCCCGCGGACGAACUUCGCCCACGCCGCCCCACCAAGGCUAUAGCCCACCCGUUUUUUGGCCAUUUUUCCGCUGGGGGGUCUUGGGACCCCGACCUUCGGGGGCUGUUUUUUGGGCGCGGCUGUGCCCGUGGCCUAUUUUUGGCACACGGAGGCCGCCCGCAACGUCUGGUGCCAUUCCGAGUCCCGCGGACGAACUUCGCCCACGCCCCCGACCAAGGCUAUAGCCCACCCGUUUUUUGGCCAUUUUUCCGCUGGGGGGUCUUGGGACCCCGACCUUCGGGAGCUGUUUUUUGGGCGCGGCUGUGCCCGUGGCCUAUUUUUGGCACACGGAGGCCGCCCGCCACGUCUGGUGCCAUUCCGAGUCCCGCGGACGAACUUCGCCCACGGCCCCCACCAAGGCUAUAGCCCACCCGUUUUUUGGCCAUUUUUCCGCUGGGGGGUCUUGGGACCCCGACCUUCGGGGGCUGUUUUUUGGGCGCGGCUGUGCCCGUGGCCUAUUUUUGGCACACGGAGGCCGCCCGCCAAGUCUGGUGCCAUUCCGAGUCCCGCGGACGAACUUCGCCCACGCCCCCCACCAAGGCUAUAGCCCACCCGUUUUUUGGCCAUUUUUCCGCUGGGGGGUCUUGGGACCCCGACCUUCGGGGGCUGUUUUUUGGGCGCGGCUGUGCCCGUGGCCUAUUUUUGGCACACGGAGGCCGCCCGCCAAGUCUGGUGCCAUUCCGAGUCCCGCGGACGAACUUCGCCCACGCCCCCCACCAAGGCUAUAGCCCACCCGUUUAUUGGCCAUUUUUCCGCUGGGGGGUCUUGGGACCCCGACCUUCGGGGGCUGGUUUUUGGGCGCGGCUGUGCCCGUGGCCUAUUUUUGGCACACGGAGGCCGCCCGCCAAGUCUGGUGCCAUUCCGAGUCCCGCGGACGAACUUCGCCCACGGCCCCCACCAAGGCUAUAGCCCACCCGUUUUUUGGCCAUUUUUCCGCUGGGGGGUCUUGGGACCCCGACCUUCGGGGGCUGUUUUUUGGGCGCGGCUGUGCCCGUGGCCUAUUUUUGGCACACGGAGGCCGCCCGCCAAGUCUGGUGCCAUUCCGAGUCCCGCGGACGAACUUCGCCCACGGCCCCCACCAAGGCUAUAGCCCACCCGUUUUUUGGCCAUUUUUCCGCUGGGGGGUCUUGGGACCCCGACCUUCGGGGGCUGUUUUUUGGGCGCGGCUGUGCCCGUGGCCUAUUUUUGGCACACGGAGGCCGCCCGCCAAGUCUGGUGCCAUUCCGAGUCCCGCGGACGAACUUCGCCCACGCCCCCCACCAAGGCUAUAGCCCACCCGUUUUUUGGCCAUUUUUCCGCUGGGGGGUCUUGGGACCCCGACCUUCGGGGGCUGGUUUUUGGGCGCGUCUGUGCCCGUGGCCUAUUUUUGGCACACGGAGGCCGCCCGCCAAGUCUGGUGCCAUUCCGAGUCCCGCGGACGAACUUCGCCCACGCCCCCCACCA
rnacentral:lncRNA from 1 species